ACGCAUUGUUCAGAUAUUUGCAGAAGUUACAUCUCUAGAACGGGCUCUGCCGCAUCGACUAGGAGUGGCAGUGCAUCGUCUUCAUGCACUGCGACGCCACAAUGAGCUUGGAGGAAAAUCGGUGCACAGAACCCUUCGUGGAAUUCUCCUAUUCUAGUUGAGUCAUUGAAGAUCUUGCUGACGGCUUCAACCGAAUAGAUACAAACCCGAG
rnacentral:lncRNA from 1 species